AUGACUGUAGGAGAAUUCCUACAAUCUUUUAUAUUAGAAAGUCAUACAAAAAUUACUAGAUUUUUGUCUUCACCGGCUUUAUAUGAAUGUGUUUGUUUGUAUCAUAUAAAUUUGUUUCUUGAUUGUCCAUAUUUGUGGAUAUUUUUGCAGCUAGUAGAAUAUCUUCUAGUUUCAGAAAAGGCAGCAAACUUUAUAAAGGAAAAACUCUAUGAUACAAGCUCAAAAAGGUUGCAUCAUAGUUAUCCCAAUGGUCCAGCAAAUGCACCAGGAUUUUUGCAUGAUUAUGCCUUUUUAAUCAAUGGCUUGUUGGAUCUCUAUCAAUAUGGUGGUUUCCUUGGUCAGGGCUACAAAGAAAGUUUGAGUAGCAGAGGUGAACUUGAUGAUUAA
rnacentral:rRNA from 1 species